rnacentral:lncRNA from 1 species
CUGCCCAGGAGGAGACUGGGAAAACAGGACACAGGACUGCCAUAAUUGAGUUGAACCCUGGUCCAUUGCCUGAACCUGGACCUGGGGCUCUCUGCAUGGAAGAAAGGAACAGUGGGUAUUAUGCCAGCCCAUGGAGUAGUGCUGCUCUAGGGAAUGACAGAGACUCAAGGUGGUAUGAACCCAGGUUUCUGAAUAUCAAUGUGGAACCGAGCUGCCUGCCAACCUGGAACACCUGCCCUGAACAGAAAAGAGAAACUGACUUCUCUUUUGAAUGGGUCAUUGCAUUGCAAGGUCUCUUAUAACAGUUUAGCUUUCCCCUGGCUACAUCAGUGGGGUUAAUCAUAUUUACCUGGCUGUCUGUGGUGAGGAUUUUAAGAGGUCUAUGAGAGGGCACCCAGUCAGGAUCUACCGGGGCUUACUCAUAUCAGCUGAAUCAAACAUGCAAAGGUUCCAUCCUCUAACUGGAAACAGUCCACUGUCUUUUCUGCUUAGGAGUUUGGACUCAGCCUCCUGUUCCUGGAGGACAGUGUAUCCUUUCAAAU